UCAAGGCUGUAAACCCUUUAGAUACAUUAUUUCAGUGCUUUAAAUAAUACCAUAUGGUUCCAUCAAAAAACUCUUAUAUAGUUCUCCAAAACCGAAAUACAUGAAUAUGGGAUGCUAAAGGGCAUAUAUGAUAUUCUGAGUUAAAACAUAAAUGGAACCCUGUUCUAAAUCAUCUUUGCACACGGAGGACGAGGUACAGUCCUGGCCCCUGGUGACAGGAAGGGGCUUUUACUUUACAUGAGACUGCUCUUGUAUCAAGAUAUUGGCUCUCAAGGAUCUGAGGCUGCAGCUCACAUAAAAUCUUCACAAACCUGGAUGACUCACACAGCCAUGAAUCCGUUGACAUCUCUCCAAACACACUUACACAAGUACGUUCACCUAUGUACAUGAGCUAUAAAAAUCCGAAGGUGACCUCUCACCAAGUCGACCUCUGUGUGCGUGUGUAUGCCAUGACGCAUAAGGCUACAUUUGAGCGAAAUCUCUUCCCUUAUGUUAAUUUUCUUCUUGGUUGGGGAAAAGUCUAAUUAAUUGUCUCUCAUUCAAAAAUGCUGGCACUUACAUACUUUUGCCACUUCAAUCAAUCAAUCAAUCAAUCAGCUAAUUGAUUAACAUCUUUUUAAAUAUAAUGUAAGUGUGCCCCUGUCUUGUGCAGCUCUUGGGAUGCUGUGAGUCACUGCCAGGGCAUUGCUAUGUGGAGGCUAUGUAUUUCGAGUUACGGUUGUAUCACGGAUGGCAGAUGGGGUUAAACUGUUCACAUGAAGGCAUCAAUCCAAUGACUAAUGGGUUAUUUGGUUGCAUUUGGUUAAUAUGGCUUGGUUUCCUCCUUCAGUGUAAGCCUACAGUGAUCCCGAAGACCUUGAUUAGCUGGUUCAGGUGUGUUUAAUUGGGGUAAGAACUACACUCUGCAGGACUCUUGCCCUCCAGGAGCAGGGUUGGACUCCCCUGGUUUAAACCAACUCACCGCACGCAUCAAAGAGCCUGAACUUUUCUCUUCACUGCUCUAUCUGCCAUCUGCUCACGCUAAGUCAUGUGGCCAGUCAUUUUGUACAAUUCAGCCUGCGCAUUUCCGAGGUGAACUCAUCCAUGCUGACUUGGUUCAAGAAAAUGUCCUCUUGAAAAUGACAUAUUGCAAAACUCCUGAGCACAUCUGGUGCUGUGCUCAUGCCCUCCCCUCUCGUUCUCAUUCUCUAUCUCUCUGUCAGCCCCCAGCCCUCCCUCACCAGGCUCGGAUAUGAACGCAAUGCACCAGAGAGGCAAACAACGAGGAAGCUCAGUGAUUUGAGAAGCCGAAGUUGAAAUUCUUCGCGGAACGUCCUCUGGUUCAUAUGUGUGUGCAAAUCUGAUACUCGAAUCAUGUGGUUUGUUUUAACAAGGCUGUACCUGCCAGGAUGGCCACUGUUUUGUGUUACAAACAAAUAGUUAUGCAAAAUUUAUGUAAGAGUCUUUGUGUAUGAUGCAUUAGUUAUGGCUUAUAAUGCACUUUAUUGCACAAAUAAUUGUAAACGGAGGUUAUAAAUUAGAACACUUGCAUUUUGAGUUCACUUAUAAUUGUUUAUGACAAGAUAUAAUGCACAUUAUGAUUAAUUAUGAUGCAUUAUACCCUUUGUCACCACUUUCUGUAACAAUAUUUAAUAUAGUUUUAUCAUUUUAAAAGAUUAAAUGACACUAUUUUUCACUUCUACUACACAUAUCUUAAUAUUCUUGAAUAAAGACUAUAACAUUUUUUUGUAAAAUGUAUAUUAAUUCGUUUUUUUGCUUAAAACAAGGACAACAAUCUAUCAAAUCUUUAUUCAAAGGGACGACAAGAUUAUUUUUCUUUAACACAUAAAACUUAAGUCGUUUUGCUUCUCAAGUAAAUUCAUCUUGAUUCAAGAAUAUUCAGAGAACAUGUAAAAUGUACCUUGCACACAUUUUUGCUCUGGAUUGAUUCAUCUGCUGAAUGUACAAACUUAAAUAUAAUGUAGAAAACAAAUGAAAUCAUCUUAACCGGGAAAGAAAGAAGGCCAGACGCAGAGAUGGCUCUGAGAAUUGGCUAAAUCUUUCAGCGUGAAUCGGCUCGCCACACUCAUUUUGCAAACUCCAUGGCACGGACCCAAGUGAGCAACUUUUUAAACAAAGGGCUACUGUCUUGCAUCAUUUCCCCUCUCCACCACCGCUCCGGAAAGCACUUCUUAUCACCAUUUAUUGCCGGUCCGUAUCAGAGGCCUGGUCUGUGCUAACACCCAGCCCGAAUGGAUUUUCAGUGCUCCAAAUGCAGACAGUUGUAAAAUGCAUUGCAGGGCUGUCUUAAAAAAACCUCCUUUACUUUGCUCCCAUAAAUUUGCCAUGUUUUAUGGGAAAGAUUCUUCCUAGUCAACAUUCAUGACGAAACGCCCCAUCUCCCCCAAGCUGGACAGUGCUUUUGUCCUUGGGCAACGGGAAGCAACCAGCAAAAUGAGAAUGCGUAAAUGCAUCAGUCGAGAAACAAUGUUUUGCAGAUUUUCAUGUUUCAAGUACUAAACGCUGCAAGCAUACACAAGUGCACACACACACACACACACACACAGUGCUUGCUUAUCAUCUGCGGGCUGUGUGAAAAACAGCCCUUCCACUGAGUGCAGCAGCCCCCCGAGGCGCCGGAGGGGUCGGAGCCAACCAAACUUGGCUUUCGAUAUCAGAAGUGCAACACGCCCACUUGGCCUCGGCAGUGGUGCAUUCCUAGGGCGCUCAUUGUCAAAAGCCAAACACUUCCUCCAGUGUACAGACCGACACGACCGCAGAGACAUUUUAUACAUGCAUGGCGCUCAGACCGAAGACAGCUGCAACCCGCUUAACAACUCCUCACCCCGUUGCUUUUUCACUUCAUUACGGUUUUUAAAACGGCAAAAUGAGUAGAAAACUUUAAACUGCUUUAAAUAAAUUGGUUAGAUGUUCUUUAACUUAUUUUAAAUACGAUAAUAAAUGGUAACGAACAUUAAUAUAAUAUACAGAGGUCUCAAAAUGCAUUUGGACACUUGUAUUAGCAACCUAAUAACGUGAAACCAAUUCUUUUAAAAUCUUGUUUGGAAAGUUAAAUGAAAUAUUUAAUUAAAGGCACAUGGGCAUUGUGUCAUAUCCCUUUCAAAACUGAUAUUUUGUUACCUUAAUGUGAGUUUUAAGUGGCUCAAAAGUUUUUACAAAAAUACACUGCGGUCGUAAAUGAAAAUAAGUGUUUAAAUCUUGUUAUUUUAUAUUACUGACACACUGUUCCCGUGUUUGAUGCUGUCAAGUGCUUUGACACAAUCUGUAUUGUUAUAUAAAGCGUUAUAUAAAUAGAAAGUGACUGACCCUGCUGUAGAUGUGCCUGCAAAAGACAUUCUAGUAAGGCAAGAAUUCGAGAACUACUCUUUUGUGACCUUUAUUGACCUUUUUUGUAUCGCGCAGAAGAAAGUCACGAGUUUCAAAAUCUAAGAAUGACAUACUUUUUAAUUUGCGCGUUAAGCUCCGCCUCUUUACGACAGGGCGGCUGUGCUCUUUACUGGAUGUUGUCACAGGACCUCAUGGUCCACUCCUGGGAAACCAUCUAACAUCUGGCCUAAAAGCACCAAGUCGGUGCAACAGGAAGCAAGCCCUUAUGUAAUAUGUAUGACCUCACAGGAAGGCGACCGAACAAAGGUUUGUGGGUUUUUCUCUUUUUUUUCGGAUGCACUAGACACACAUAUAAAGGUCCACUGUGUCUCUUCCUUGGGGUUACAAAGAUGCUUUGUUGUCCCACUCCGGAGAGGAGGAAGAGGAGGGGGAAAUGGACAAGCAUAUGUAUCAAUUGUCUCCUCCGGCUCACGCUGCGUGGGCGACCUGUAGGCAUUAGGCCAAUCUGAUUAAAAGUAAAAAGCUACUCAAAGCCAUCCCCGGCGGGGGUUACUGGUGGCCUGUUUUAUGCCUGUCUCUCCUGUGCUAUAGGAACUGAAGUCCUGGCAAUGAUAAGAAAGACGAACUUUGACUUUCAGCAAACCGAGCUAUGGAUUACCACACUUGAGCAAACAGUGGGUGCGAUCGGUCUUAGUUUUACAAACAUCCUCUGAGCCACACAUUGGCUUCCUGAUGCACGAUACAACAAAUGUCACAAGAUAUGAGGGGCUAAAAAUAUACAAGCUGCCAAAUUUGAAUCAUUAUUUUUCUCUUCAAGCCAUUAAGAAUCCUAUAAUGCGCACUGUGUAAAACGAGGUUGGAUUGGAGAGAAAAAAAAGGUUAAACCCAUUUUAUAAAAUUGAUUUUUUUUUUCUGAGGUCCAUUUUAUUAGGCACAGAAACAAUUAUAAAUUUUUACCAUUUUACACCCUCUUUUUGAGCUUUGAUAAGUUUUUUAUUUUUAUGAUUCUUAUGAUUGUAUAUUUACAUGUAUACAUUUUGUAUUCAAAGAGAAACCGAGGAAAAUUUGUCAAAGAAUUACAAGAA